rnacentral:rRNA from 1 species
AUUGAACGCUGGCGGCAUGCUUUACACAUGCAAGUCGAACGGUAACAGGCCGCAAGGUGCUGACGAGUGGCGAACGGGUGAGUAAUGCAUCGGAACGUGCCCAGUAGUGGGGGAUAACGCAGCGAAAGCUGAGCUAAUACCGCAUACGACCUGUGGAUGAAAGCGGGGGACCGCAAGGCCUCGCGCGAUUGGAGCGGCCGAUGUCAGAUUAGGUAGUUGGUGGGGUAAAGGCCCACCAAGCCAACGAUCUGUAGCGGGUCUGAGAGGCCGACCAGCCACACUGGGACUGAGACACGGCCCAGACUCCUACGGGAGGCAGCAGUGGGGAAUUUUGGACAAUGGGCGCAAGCCUGAUCCAGCAAUGCCGCGUGCGGGAAGAAGGCCUUCGGGUUGUAAACUGCUUUUGUACGGAACGAAACGGUCUGGGUUAAUACCUCGGGCUAAUGACGGUACCGUAAGAAUAAGCACCGGCUAACUACGUGCCAGCCGCCGCCGUAAGAC